rnacentral:miRNA from 1 species
GCUGAGGAGAGGGAGGAGGAGAACAUGAGGAACCAGGGGUCAUCAGUCAGCAGAGUGCAGCCUGGACAGGGGCCAUGGCUCACUGAGUGAUGUCAAGCCCAA